GUUGUGUAAGAGGGGGGCUACUCCCAAGGAAGAGAACUGCAGCUGCAUCCACUUAUUUUGCCCUAGCAAGUAGAUUCUCAGCUGAUAUAAAACAACAAAGCCUAUUGCACUUAGUGGCGUAAUUUUGCAACAGCUGAGGACAUGUGCUUAUGACUUUAAAUUAGCCGUCAAUGGAAAGUUGUGCUUCUGUUAGCUGGUUGGCUAAAUAAGGACAUAUCUGUAAAAUUGCAAAUGUUGCAACAAGGCAGCUGAGAGGAAAACAGAAGAAGCUGUUGCUCAGAGUACAGGUCUGGCGCAUAAUCUGAUGUUUGCCUCCAAGCAAAGUGCAACCCCAGUAAUUGUGCCCCAUUCUGGGAAGGAAACUGCUCUUCAAGGACACUGGGACUGGUCAGGGAAGCCACUACUUUAGGUGAAGACUGACACAACCCAGUGCUGAUCUGUUGGGAUGCAGACAUGGAGAAAAGGAGGACAAAGAUAUGGAGCAUCUACCAGGUCUCUCAUGUUGGAGCCGUGUUCAGAGUUGACAUCCCAGAUGAAUUCAACCAAAUCUUCAGUAACUGGUGAAAUCCUCAGACAACCGAGCACUCUUCCUCACUUAGUGAAGGCAUCCAAGGAGGACGCAGCCGCUGAGGCCUAGGCUGGCAGGGUAAGUGCAGGCACCCCAGCCAGAAUGGGGCUGGG
rnacentral:lncRNA from 1 species